GGAUUUUCAACUUAAAACUUCAAUUUCAUUUAACACUUGCAGUUAUCUUACAGAAUUCCACAUGAUACUAACCUGGGAGCCUAAAUGAGCAAUGGAACAUGUAUAUUGACUUGACUGCUCUAGCGUGCCCAUAUUCAGAGACAGCAAAUUAAUUUUCUGUAGAUGCUGACAUGCAGUGGAUUGGACAAAAUUUGAUGGAAGAAAGAAUCAUUUUGAUAUUUAUUUUUGAUGUUUUGUUCAAGCCUUCAAGGGUGGAGACUAUAUGUACUCUUAAGUUUUUUGCAUCAUUUUGACUAGUUGUACUUAAUGUUGGAUUAUAAUUAUAUGACAAUUAAAAUCUUUAUGUUAUUGUCUUGAUUAAAGUACUUUUCAUAA